rnacentral:rRNA from 1 species
GACGAACGCUGGCGGCGUGCUUAACACAUGCAAGUCGAACGGAAAGGCCCUGCUUUUUUGGGGUUCUCGAGUGGCGAACGGGUGAGUAACACGUGAGUAACCUGCCCUUGACUUUGGGAUAACUUCAGGAAACUGGUGCUACUACCGGAUAGGAUCUCCUGCUGCAUGUUGGGGGUUUGAAAGUUUCGGCGGUUGGGGAUGGACUCGCGGCUUAUGAGCUUGUUUGUGUGGUAGUGGCUUACCAAGUCUUUGACGGGUAGCCGGCCUGAGAGGGUGAACGGGCACAUUGGGACUGAGAUACGGACCAGAAUCGUACGGGAGGCAGCAGUGGGGAAUAUUGCACAAUGGGCGGAAGCCUGAUGCAGCAACGUCGCGUGCGGGAUGACGGCCUUCGGGUUGUAAACCGCUUUCGCCUGUGACGAAGCGUGAGUGACGGUAAUGGGUAAAGAAGCACCGGCUAACUACGUG